CCAUAUCCAGGUGUGCAAACUUUGUAACAUCAUACCCAAGAGGACUGGAGGCUGUGAUCACUGCCAAAGGUGCUUCAACUAAGUCCUGAGUAAAGGGUCUGAAUACUUAUGUCAAAAUGCCAUAUUCUAAUUUUUCCUUUUAAAU